CAGCCACAGCUGCAGCCACACCCCAAUCAGGGCCCAGCUGGCCUUUAUAAGAGAGCAGUGGGCCAGGAGGACAGUCUCUCUCUAGAUGUUGAGAGGGAGGGGCCUGACCACUGGGUGCUAAGCAGGGUACCUAAAGUGGAGCAGGGCUGGGGAAAGGCCAGAGGAGCUAUGGAGCUCCGGCCUGAGAAACCCUCAGGCUGCAAGCCUUGAUGAAGGCCAAGGAAAAGGGUACUGGAGUUGCAGAGGGCAGCCCAAGGCAAGAAAAGGAAGACAGGAGACAAGGAAAAUCUGCCUUUCAGCAAACAAAUGUGAGAAGAAAUAACACAGAACUUCUUUCACCACCAGCUGCCUUUAUAGCAAAUGAACUUUAACUAAGGAUGACAAGAGAAACAGCCCGGGGACUUUGGGAUCCGAUCCUAACCUGAAAUUUGGUCAGCCCUGUUGCUGGAAGCAAGUGUUUGACCACAAACUUCAUCAGCAACUAAAAAUGUCUGACCACAACAUCAUCAGCAACCAAACAGAAACGUGUGAAAGAAAACAAUGUUUUUAUUGUUUGAUGAAUACAAUAAACCUAAUUUUUAU